GACGAACGCCGGCGGCGUGCCUAAUACAUGCAAGUUGAACGCUUGAUUUUCACCGAAGCUUGCUUCACCGAAAAUCAAGAGUAGCGAACGGGUGAGUAACGCGUGGGUAACCUACCUAUCAGCGGGGGAUAACUAUUGGAAACGAUAGCUAAUACCGCAUAACAAUGUUGGAUGCAUAUUCGACAUUUGAAAGUACCAAAUGGUACACUGAGAGAUGGACCCGCGUUGUAUUAGCUAGUUGGUAGUGUAAUGGACUACCAAGGCGAUGAUACAUAGCCGACCUGAGAGGGUGAUCGGCCACAUUGGGACUGAGACACGGCCCAAACUCCUACGGGAGGCAGCAGUAGGGAAUCUUCGGCAAUGGACGAAAGUCUGACCGAGCAACGCCGCGUGAGUGAAGAAGGUUUUCGGAUCGUAAAACUCUGUUGUUAGAGAAGAACGUUGCAUAGAGUGGAAAAUUAUGCAAGUGACGGUAUCUAACCAGAAAGGGACGGCUAACUACGUGCCAGCAGCCGCGGUAAUACGUAGGUCCCGAGCGUUGUUCGGAUUUAUUGGGCGUAAAGCGAGCGCAGGUGGUUUAAUAAGUCUGAUGUAAAAGGCAGUGGCUCAACCAUUGUGUGCAUUGGAAACUGUUAGACUUGAGUGCAGUAGAGGAGAGUGGAAUUCCAUGU
rnacentral:rRNA from 1 species